GAAUGUUUCUACAUAAAUAUCACAAUUUUGCACCAAAACUGAAGAAUCAAUGGAACCUAAGCAUCUGUGUUUUUGGUGAUGAAAAGACUGAGGCCAUCAUUAAAAGUGUACAGUGUUUUGGUGCUGUACAAGUCAGAAUUAUUAUGCACUUAUGCUUUGAAAGUCAUGACACCAGAGAUAACCACCCUGAUUUUCAGAAAGAUGGAGAGGUUCCAAAGAUUCCAGGCAGAGAUGGCCUUUGCAACCUCAGUAUUGUUGGAAUAGUACUUGUAAAAGCCACAAGAACCACUAUCACAAUUUUAAUACCAACAUAUUUUUUUCUUAAAAAACGUUCUUAGCAAUGUGAGAAUUGAUUGUAUAAUAUACACUCUUAGAAGAAACGAUUCUAUAUAGAACCCAAAGAAGUUCUAUCCUUUGCUUCAUAUUUGGAACCUCUGAAAGCUUCUACAUGGACCAAUUUUCCAAACUGAUUCAAACUCAGAGUUGGAAACAUUUUCAAAUUUUCAUGUUUUCCCCCCAUAACAUUGUUACAUACAGUAUAUUAUUUUCAUCAAAAUCAAAAUGCAAAUUUUCUCUGUCAAAUACAUAGAUUUGAUCAUACUGAUUUGAGAGUGAAUGAUUUAUGAAAUCAUUCAUUAUCAUAAAAUGCUAGUUAAUAACUCAAUUUCACUAUUUUUGACAAAUCACUAGGUGUUUCGCUAGUGACUGCAAUGUUUUGGUAGUGACCACAAUAUUUUGUUUGCAAGGUUAUAACAUAUUCCCUCAGUUUGUUGGACUUAUAUUAACUCAUGCAAUGUUUUAUGUUGAAAAUAUUUCAAUUACAUAUUACAUUUUAUCACUACUAAAAUAAUAAUGUUACUAUGUUAUCAUAUGUUUCAGACUGUUUAUGU